ACAGCUCAGUAACACGUGGACAACCUACCCAAAGGUCUGGGAUAACUCCGGGAAACUGGGGAUAAUACCGGAUAGGUCAAGAGUACUGGAAGGGUUUUUUGAUUGAAAGCUCUGGCGCCUUUGGAUGGGUCUGCGGCUGAUUAGGUUGACGCCGGUGUAAAGUACCGGCGUGCCGAUUAUCAGUACGGGUUGUGGGAGCAAGAGCCCGGAGAUGGAUUCUGAGACACGAAUCCAGGCCCUACGGGGCGCAGCAGGCGCGAAAACUCUACAAUGCAGGCAACUGCGAUAGGGGAACAUCGAGUGGCAUCUACAUUAGGUGUCUGUCCAGCUGUCUAAAAAACGGCUGUUAGCAAGGGCCGGGCAAGACCGGUGCCAGCCGCCGCGGUAAUACCGGCGGCUCGAGUGGUGGCCGAUAUUAUUGAGUCUAAAGGGUCCGUAGCCGGCUUUGCAGGUCUUGUGGGAAAUCCAGCGGCUUAACCGUUGGGCGUCUGCGGGAUACUACAUUGCUUGGGACUGGGAGAGGUAGGAGGUACUCAGGGGGUAGGAGUGAAAUCCUGUAAUCCUCUGGGGACCACCGGUGGCGAAGGCGUCCUACCAGAACAGGUCCGACGGUGAGGGACGAAAGCUAGGGGCACGAACCGGAUUAGAUACCCGGGUAGUCCUAGCCGUAAACGAUGCCCGCUAGGUGUCACGGCAGUCGUGAACUGCCGUGGUGCCGUAGGGAAGCCGUGAAGCGGGCCACUUGGGAAGUACGACCGCAAGGUUGAAACUUAAAGGAAUUGGCGGGGGAGCAC
rnacentral:rRNA from 1 species